UACAGAGGUGGCAAGCGUUGUUCGGAAUUACUGGGCGUAAAGGGCGCGUAGGCGGAUAGUUUAGUCAGAGGUGAAAGCCCAGGGCUCAACCUUGGAACUGCCUUUGAUACUGGCUAUCUUGAGUUCGGGAGAGGUGAGUGGAAUGCCGAGUGUAGAGGUGAAAUUCGUAGAUAUUCGGCGGAACACCAGUGGCGAAGGCGACUCACUGGCCCGAUACUGACGCUGAGGCGCGAAAGCGUGGGGAGCAAACAGG
rnacentral:rRNA from 1 species